rnacentral:rRNA from 1 species
GACGAACGCUGGCGGCGUGCUUAACACAUGCAAGUCGAACGGAAAGGCCCUGCUUUUGUGGGGUGCUCGAGUGGCGAACGGGUGAGUAACACGUGAGUAACCUUCCCUUGACUUUGGGAUAACUUCAGGAAACUGGGGCUAAUACCGGAUAGGAGCUCCUGCUGCAUGGUGGGGGUUGGAAAGUUUCGGCGGUUGGGGAUGGACUCGCGGCUUAUCAGCUUGUUGGUGGGGUAGUGGCUUACCAAGGCUUUGACGGGUAGCCGGCCUGAGAGGGUGACCGGCCACAUUGGGACUGAGAUACGGCCCAGACUCCUACGGGAGGCAGCAGUGGGGAAUAUUGCACAAUGGGCGGAAGCCUGAUGCAGCAACGCCGCGUGCGGGAUGACGGCCUUCGGGUUGUAAACCGCUUUCGCCUGUGACGAAGCGUGAGUGACGGUAAUGGGUAAAGAAGCACCGGCUAACUACGUG